UGACAAUGAUGUGGGCAGUGUCUGAGUAGCUUCUUGUAUCUUUCCCAAGCUUGACGAAGAGUCUCGCCAUCCCGUUGUUGGAACCCAAGAAUCUGGCUCCUCAGAGA
rfam:Nicotiana attenuata strain TT chromosome 6, whole genome shotgun sequence.